AACAUUGCAAGCUAUCUUUAAAUAUGUAUUUUGGAAAAAAAAAGCUAUAGCACUUCUAUUUAAAACAAAAGUGGUAUUGAUUUAUUAUAAAUCAAUGGGUAUAAUUCAUGUUAUUGGUCAAAGUACUUAAACGAGUAACUAACUAUGUUUUGUGCAAUCUAUUGGGUGUGCUUAGGAAUACCUUUGUGAUGAUAACUCGUGGGAGAUUGAAUCCGAAGGCAUCAAGACCCUUCCCGUGUCCGGAACUAAGCUAUUGCACAUCCACGCUGUUGUCUCCUCUACCACACUAAUGUACCUAAGUCAAGGUUUUCAUCGAAUUAUCAAAGCCUAGCCAUCCCAAUCGACCAUCCUCCACGGUGUCACGCUCGAACUCCCAUAGAAUGGAAAUCAGAGAUCGAGGGAAGGAUUUGGGGGUAGAACUCGACGGAAUCCCAAGGAAGGAUUCU
rnacentral:lncRNA from 1 species